UGGGGAAUAUUGCACAAUGGGCGAAAGCCUGAUGCAGCAACGCCGCGUGAGUGAUGAAGGCCUUCGGGUUGUAAAACUCUGUCUUCUGGGACGAUAAUGACGGUACCAGAGGAGGAAGCCACGGCUAACUACGUGCCAGCAGCCGCGGUAAUACGUAGGUGGCAAGCGUUGUCCGGAUUUACUGGGCGUAAAGAAUGCGUAGGCGGAUAUUUAAGUCAGAUGUGAAAUCCCCGGGCUUAACUUGGGGGCUGCAUUUGAAACUGGAUAUCUAGAGUGCGGGAGAGGAGAGUGGAAUUCCUAGUGUAGCGGUGAAAUGCGUAGAGAUUAGGAAGAACACCAGUGGCGAAGGCGACUCUCUGGACCGUAACUGACGCUGAGGCAUGAAAGCGUGGGGAGCAAACA
rnacentral:rRNA from 1 species